UGACCUGUGUCAUCAAAAUAAAUUAGUCC
rnacentral:piRNA from 1 species